GCCAGCAGCUGAUUGGACUGCUGAUUAGCCCCACCUGCUGCACCUGGGAAAAGACCUGCAGCAUAACUGGCUCAUCCUCAUAAAAAGAGGAUUAGGAAAUGGAGAGAAGGAACUGCAAUACCUGCCAGAGGCUGGAGCUACUGCUGGGAAGAACCCAGAAACAAAAAUGGACAGAAGUGAGACUUUAGAAAGUCCUAUUAUCAAAAGGCUCUGAGGUGUGGUUACCAAGAUGAAGAUGCAGUGUACCAUCGUCAUCUGCAGGGAUUACUUACACUAUACAAGUACAACUGUUCUGAGAAACACAACAAGAAUAUAUGUCUGUACAUCUCUCCCCCUGCUUCAGGGAUGUCCAGAUUGGGGAUAUUGUGACUGGGGGUGGGGGAGGGAGAAGAGAGAACGACGUCCCCUCAGCAAGACAGUCAGAUUUAACGUCCUCAAGGUCACAAAGGCUCCUGGCACCAAGAAGCAGUUCCAGAAGUUUUAGAGGCAACAAAAGGAGGAUCACUAUGAAUAAAACUUUUGUACAAAAAAAAAUAAAAAUCAAA